AUUUGUCUGGAUAUAUUGAUUUCUUUAAAAAAUGUAAUCCAUAAAUACAAUGGCUUGAAUAGACCUCUUCUAUGAUGAACAUGUUUUUCAUUUCUGAAUUAAAAAAAAAAAAAUCAUUUUGAUAUUUUUGGAAGACAAAGUUGAAAAGUACAAAAGUGCUGAUAUUAUAAAUAUAUAAACAGAUCAAGCAUAACAUCAUGACCACCUUCCUAAUAUUGUGUUGGUCCCCCUUUUGCUGACAAAACAGCCCUGACCCGUCGAGGCAUGGACUCCAUUAGAAUCCAUUUCCAUGAAAGGGUGUACAUGGUCUGCAACAUUGCUUAGGUAGGUGGUACGUGUCAAAGUAACAUCCACAUGGAUGGCAGGACUCAAGGUUUCCCAGCAGAACAUUGCCCAAAGCAUCACACUGCCUCCACCGGCUUGCCUUCUUCCCAUAGUGCAUCCUGGUGCCAUGUGUUCCCCAGGUAAGCAACGCACACGCACCCGGCCAUCCACGUGAUGUAAAAGAAAACGUGAUUCAUCAGACCAGGCCACCUUCUUCCAUUGCUCCGUGGUCCAGUUCUGAUGCUCACGUGUCCACUGUUGGCUCUUUCAGCGGUGGACAGGGGUCAGUAUGGGCCGCCUGACUGGUCUGCAGCUAUGCAGCUCCAUACACAACAAACUGCAAUGCACUGUGUAUUCUGACACCUUUCUAUCAGAACCAGCAUUAACUUCUUGAGCAAUUUGAGCUACAGUAGCUCGUCUGUUGGAUCGGAUCACACGGGCCAGCUUUCGCUCCCCACGUGCAUCAAUGCGCCUCGGCCGCCCAUGACCCUGUCGCCGGUUCACCACUGUUCCUUCCUUGGAGCACUUUUGAUAGAUACUGACCACUGCAGACCGGGAACACCCCACAAGAGCUGCAGUUUUGGAGAUGCUCUGACCCAGUUGUCUAGCCAUCACAAUUUUGGCCCUUGUUAAACUCGCUCAAAUCCUUUACGCUUGCCCAUUUUUCCUGCUUCUAACACAUCAACUUUGAGGACAAAAUGUUCACUUGCUGCCUAAUAUAUCCACCCACUAACAGGUGCCGUGAUGAAGAGAUCAUCAGUGUUAUUCACUUCACCUGUCAGUGCUCAUAAUGUUAUGCCUGAUUAUGCCAAUAACCACAUUUCAGUCUCGUCUUUUUUCGCCAAUUAUCAAAUUUCUGAUAGCACGUGAAGGCAGCAUAAGUCAUAGACAAAAAGGUCGUCAACGUCAUAGAUUUCGUUAACGAAAUUAACACUGGUUAGCUGCUAUCACCUUAUUUCAAGACUGGUUUCAGGUGCACAUGGUGAAAGUACUGUAGAUGAUUUUCAUAGCCAGUAGUUAAUAUAAAAUUAGCAUGCAAACAGGGACACAAAUGCCAGCUAGGAGAUGAU